rnacentral:rRNA from 1 species
GACGAACGCUGGCGGCGUGCUUAACACAUGCAAGUCGAACGGUGAAGCGCCUUCCUUUUUGGUGGGUGUGGAUGAGUGGCGAACGGGUGAGUAACACGUGAGUAACCUGCCCCCUUCUUCUGGAUAACCGCAUGAAAGUGUGGCUAAUACGGGAUAUUCUGGGUCUGUCGCAUGAUGGGUCUGGGAAAGAUAUUGUUUCGGUGGGGGAUGGGCUCGCGGCCUAUCAGCUUGUUGGUGGGGUGAUGGCCUACCAAGGCGGUGACGGGUAGCCGGCCUGAGAGGGUGGGCGGCCACAGUGGGACUGAGACACCGCCCAGCCUCCUACGGGAGGCAGCAGGGGGGAAUAUGGCACAAUGGGCGCAAGGCUGAUGCAGCGACGCCGCGGGAGGGAUGGAGGCCUGCGGGUUGUGAACCGCUUUCGCCAGUGAAGCAGGCCUGCCUCGUUUGUGGGUGGGUUGACAGUAGCUGGAUAAGAAGCGCCGGCUAACUACGUG